rnacentral:rRNA from 1 species
GACGAACGCUGGCGGCGUGCUUAACACAUGCAAGUCGAGCGGUAAGGCCCUUUUGGGGGUACACGAGCGGCGAACGGGUGAGUAACACGUGGGUGACCUGCCCUCAGCUCUGGGAUAAGCCUGGGAAACUGGGUCUAAUACUGGAUAUGACCUUUCCUCGCAUGGGGUUGGGUGGAAAGUUUUUCGGCUGGGGAUGGGCCCGCGGCCUAUCAGCUUGUUGGUGGGGUGAUGGCCUACCAAGGCGACGACGGGUAGCCGGCCUGAGAGGCGACCGGCCACACUGGGACUGAGACACGGCCCAGACUCCUACGGGAGGCAGCAGUGGGGAAUAUUGCGCAAUGGGCGGAAGCCUGACGCAGCGACGCCGCGUGGGGGAUGACGGCCUCGGUUGUAA